UUUUCCUCUUGAUGCAACACACCACAAAACCCUACAAACAAGAAGCAGCCGCCACCUCCAUUGUUAUUAUGUUUUAACUCCAACAACUCAUAACCCAAGCAACCUUUUGUCUAAUCCUAGGUUCAUCGCAUGGGCAUGGUGUUAGUUCUUUGAUCGAGUAUCGGUUUUAUAGCAUUCGAACAUUGGGUUUAGUUAGUGUGGUCUCGGGUUCGUCUUGGAGUUUUGCUCUGUUCCAUAAAUCCAUAUCUUACAUUGCGGACUUCGAUUGACGAGGUAUUCGCCAUAGCAUGCGCCCCACCGUCAUGCCACUCCGUCGCUAUCGGGUUUCACACCAUAUCUCGCUGUAGCCGUGAACCACCAUUUUUCGCCGCUGUUAGCCACGACCACCGACUGUUGUUGUUCGGCCUUCCUUCUAUUGUCCUACGAAACUGGGAUAUCUCUUCGCCUUUUUGGAGUACUUUAUUUUUUUCAUGUGCUUAUUUCAACGAAUCAUUGAACGCAACCAAUGUUGAUGAGGACGAUGCUAAGAAAAGAAGUAGCGUUGAUGCC